GAUGAACGCUGGCGGCGUGCCUAAUACAUGCAAGUCGAGCGAACAAACGAGGAGCUUGCUCCUCUGACGUUAGCGGCGGACGGGUGAGUAACACGUGGAUAACCUACCUAUAAGACUGGGAUAACUUCGGGAAACCGGAGCUAAUACCGGAUAAUAUAUUGAACCGCAUGGUUCAAUAGUGAAAGACGGUUUUGCUGUCACUUAUAGAUGGAUCCGCGCCGCAUUAGCUAGUUGGUAAGGUAACGGCUUACCAAGGCAACGAUGCGUAGCCGACCUGAGAGGGUGAUCGGCCACACUGGAACUGAGACACGGUCCAGACUCCUACGGGAGGCAGCAGUAGGGAAUCUUCCGCAAUGGGCGAAAGCCUGACGGAGCAACGCCGCGUGAGUGAUGAAGGUCUUCGGAUCGUAAAACUCUGUUAUUAGGGAAGAACAAAUGUGUAAGUAACUAUGCACGUCUUGACGGUACCUAAUCAGAAAGCCACGGCUAACUACGU
rnacentral:rRNA from 1 species